rnacentral:rRNA from 1 species
CGAGCGCAACCCCUCGUCGUAUGUUGCCAGCAUUAAGUUGGGGACGUCAUACGAGACUGCCGGCGUCAAGCCGGAGGAAGGUGGGGACGACGUCAAGUCAUCAUGCCCCUUACUGUCCUGGGCUGCACACGUGCUACAAUGGUUGGUACAACGAGUUGCGAGUCGGUGACGGCGAGCUAAUCUCUUAAAGCCAAUCUCAGUUCGGAUUGUAGGCUGCAACUCGCCUACAUGAAGUCGGAAUCGCUAGUAAUCGCGGAUCAGCACGCCGCGGUGAAUACGUUCCCGGGCCUU